UACAGAGGUCUCAAGCGUUGUCCGGAAUCAUUGGGCGUAAAGGGCGCGUAGGUGGCCCGGUCAGUCUUUGGUGAAAGCGCGGGGCUCAACCCUGCGUCGGCAGGGAUACUGCCGCGGCUCGAGCACUGUGAGAGGCAGGCGGAAUUCCGGGUGGUAGCGGUGGAAUGCGUAGAGAUCCGGAAGAACACCGGUGGCGAAGGCGGCCUGCUGGGCAGUUAGCUGACACUGAGGCGCGACAGCGUGGGGAGCAACAGG
rnacentral:rRNA from 1 species